rnacentral:rRNA from 1 species
GACGAACGCUGGCGGCGUGCCUAAUACAUGCAAGUCGAACGAGUGGCGGACGGGUGAGUAAUAUCUCGGAACGUGCCAAAUAGAGGGGGAUAACUACUCGAAAGAGUGGAUAAUACCGCAUACAAUUGGAAGGGCCGCUAUCGGAUUAGCUAGUUGGUGGGGUAAAGGCUCACCAAGGCAACGAUCCCUAGCUGGUUUGAGCGGACGACCAGCCACACUGGGACUGAGACACGGCCCAGACUCCUACGGUAGGCAGCAGUGUGGAAUUUUGGACAAUGGGGGAAACCCUGAUCCAGCCAUCCCGCGUGUAUGAGAAGGCCUUCGGGUUGUAAAGUACUUUUGGCAGAGAAGUGGUAUCUGCAGAAUAAGCACCGGCUAACUACGUGCCAGCAGCCGCGGUAAUAC